rnacentral:rRNA from 1 species
AAAUAAGUAUAAAAUUCAAAUAGUAUUAGAUGACUUGAAACUUAAAAAUUUUGGCGGUAUUUUAAUCUUAUUAGAGGAACCUGUUUUAUAAUCGAUAAUACACGACAUAUCUUACUUAGAUUAUUAGUUUGUAUAUCGUUGUGAUAAUAAUAUUUCAUAAUUAUUAUUAAAGGUAAUUUUAUCUUUUAUAUCAGAUCAAGGUUCAGCUUAUAUUUGAGGACAAAUGGGUUACAAUAUGAAAACAUAUCUACGAAUUUUAUCUUUUAAAGGUAAAUGAAGGAGGAUUUAAAAGUAUUUCUAUCAUAAUAUGUUAGGUUGAAUAAGCUCUAAAAUAUGC